UACGUAGGGGGCGAGCGUUGUCCGGAUUUAUUGGGCGUAAAGAGCUCGUAGGCGGUUCGAUAAGUCAGGUGUAAAAACUCCAGGCUCAACUUGGAGAGGCCACCUGAUACUGUCGUGACUAGAGUCCGGUAGAGGAGCACGGAAUUCCUGGUGUAGCGGUGAAAUGCGCAGAUAUCAGGAGGAACACCAGCGGCCGAAGGCGGUGCUCUGGGCCGGAACUGACGCUGAGGAGCGAAAGCGUGGGGAGCGAACAGG
rnacentral:rRNA from 1 species